UACGGGGGGGGCAAGCGUUGUUCGGAAUUACUGGGCGUAAAGGGCUCGUAGGCGGCCAACUAAGUCGGACGUGAAAUCCCCAGGCUCAACCUGGGAACUGCGUCCGAUACUGGAUGGCUUGAAUCCGGGAGAGGGAUGCAGAAUUCCAGGUGUAGCGGUGAAAUGCGUAGAUAUCUGGAGGAACACCGGUGGCGAAGGCGGCAUUCUGGACCGACAUUGACGCUGAGGAGCGAAAGCCAGGGGAGCAAACGGG
rnacentral:rRNA from 1 species